CAAAUAUCUAUAUAUUAAUACGCCUUGUGUGUGUGUGCGCACGGUGAGGCCACGUCACACAAAUCACAGGUCACUUUCUUACGACGUGGCGUUACGCUAAAAUUUACCAAGUUAAAGAAAACGCAAAUCAGGGGGUUACUAUAUAAAUAUUUAAUUCUCUUUUCUUAUUUUUUUUUAAAAUAAAACUUUUUUUCCUUACUCAUUAAAACUAAUUUUUAUUUUAAUUUUAAAUGGUUUUAUUUGUUUUUUUGUUGUAAAAGCCCCGCUGGUCGUUUAACAUAGAAUAAUUAAAUUUUACCCCCGGUUUACCAUGUGCGCGCCGUAUCUCACGGAAACAAAGUUUAUUAACUGAAAAAUGAAAACCGAAGCGAAGAAAGUUGUCUCUUUUUCAAAGUAAUCCUGGAAAAAUUUAUUUCAAACAAGGUUUACUCAUCACGAGAGCGACUGUUGAUGUCGAGCGAGAAUAAAAAAAGUUAAUGUUGUUGCCAGAAAUAUUUAUUAUAAAGAAGAAAAACGUACGAUAAUAUAACGUCAAAAAGAGAACUGAUUGGAAAUGUAUCAGACAAUUGUAGCUAGCUAUACAUUUUCAAUUUGUUUUCUUUGGGAUGAAGCGAAGUUUAAUAAUUGAAGUAAAAAACUGAUUGGUCUUUUAUCCAGAGACGCUAGCUAACUGAGAAAGCCAAAGAAAGGCAGGUGUGUUGUUUAGUUUAUCUGGUAAAGAGAUAAGUUUAGGUGUGUAACGUUUUUUUUUAACCGUUUUAACUUUCAGAGCUCAGCUUUUCCUUUAAAUUUUUAGUUUCUUUUUGAGUCUUGAGCUUAAAUGCGUUUUCUUUUGACACAAUUUUUAUAAGAAUCUAAAAUGUAAAGCGACGUUUUUAAACCGUUUACACGCUUUGUCUUUAGCCUGAACAUAUUUAACAUUUUUUGUAAGAAUAUACUCUAAACAAUGGGUCAGAAUAUCCUAAGAAAAUGUCUAAGCUUGGUUGUUUCUUUUAAUAUAAAAAUUUGUAUGACUGAACCUUUUUCUCUCCAAAACAAUGGGCAAGUACACCAGGGAAAGCUAAGAACAUGAAGGCCGAAACGAAAAAAAAAAACACUAUUCUUAUAAAAUACAGCGUGUAUAUGAUAGAGAAGAGUUUAUAUAGAAUGUAGAAAGUAUUUUUUCGUUGUUACUGUUUUUAACGCUACGAAGUGGUUGAUGUCGUUAUAAUAAACCUUAAUGUAAACAAAUUUAAAUCAAUGUUUACAUCUGUUACGUUACCGUUUAAAAUAAUAUUCGAUUCUUCAAUUCGAAAACACUGCAUUGUUAUCAUGCACUGCACGUUUGCGCAUUGGGAAGGUUGCUAUAUGCAAUAGACUAAAUAGCUAAUUUGGUAUGAUGCAUUAGAAUCUGUACGUUGUGGAAACUUUGCAAUAACCUUAUUUGUGUGACUUAUAUUUCGGGUAUGGCAAAGAAAGUAUAUAGUUUUAACAGAUUUGUUAGCCACCUUCGAUUUUGUUAAACUUUUUGCAUUUUUAUUUGUUGCUGGACAUGCUUAUAUUUUUAAGCGUUCUGUUUCAGCGGGUACAAGUAUAACGCAGAUUGUGAGCAACUUCAAUUCCAGGGUUUUUUUCUCUUUUAUUGUUAUUUUUUUAUUGCUGCACAUAUUUAUUUUUUUGGACGUUUUGUUCUAGUGGUUAUAAACUAGAAUAAUACAAAUUGUGACUUUUAAAAAUUCAUAUUACUGUGUUGUAUGUUUUUGUUUGGUAUCCCUUACAUCGGUUUAAUGAGAGAUUCAGUGGAUUCCCCCACGGGUAUUCAGCUAGUCUAUAUAUUAAUACGCCUUGUGUGUGUGUGCGCACGGUGAGGCCACGUCACACAAAUCACAGGUCACUUUCUUACGACGUGGCGUUACGCUAAAAUUUACCAAGUUAAAGAAAACGCAAAUCAGGGGGUUACUAUAUAAAUAUUUAAUUCUCUUUUCUUAUUUUUUUUUUAAAAUAAAACUCUUUUUCCUUACUCAUUAAAACUAAAUUUUAUUUUAAUUUCAAAUGGUUUUAUUUGUUUUUUUGUUGUAAAAGCCCCGCUGGUCGUUUGGGAUAGAAUAAUUAAAUUUUACCUCCGGUUUACCAUGUGCGCGCCGUAUCUCACGGAAACAAAGUUUAUUAACUGAAAAAUGAAAACCGAAGCGAAGAAAGUUGUCUCUUUUUCAAAGUAAUCCUGAAAAAAGUUAUUUCAAACAAGGUUUACUCAUCACGAGGUUAGAUUAAAGCUUAUUUGUUUCUUCUAUCUUUUUUGUGUUCUGGGACCGAAGUUGCUUUCUUUUAAAAAAACUAUCGAAUUCGAAUGAUAAUUCGAAUCUAAGAAGUAAAGAACAAAACUGUUGUCAUUGUAGAGCGACUGUUGAUGUCGAGCAAGAAUAAAAAAAGUUUAUGUUGUUGCCAGAAAUGUCUGUUAUAAAGAAGAAAAACGUACGAUAAUAUAACGUCAAAAAGAGAACUGAUUGGAAAUGUAUCAGACAAUUGUAGCUAGCUAUACAUUUUCAAUUUGUUUUCUUUGGGAUGAAGCGAAGUUUAAUAAUCGAAGUAAAAAACUGAUUGGUCUUUUAUCCAGAGACGCUAGCUAACUGAGAAAGCCAAAGAAAGGCAGGUGUGUUGUUUAGUUUAUCUGGUAAAGAGAUAAGUUUAGGUGUGUAACGUUUUUUUUAACCGUUUUAACUUUCAGAGCUCAGCUUUUCCUUUAAAUUUUUAGUUCCUUGUUGCGUCUUGAGCUUAAAUGCGUUUUCUUUUGACACAAUUUUUAUAAGAAUCUAAAAUGUAAAGCGACGUUUUUAAGCCGUUUACACGCUUCCAGCUAAACUUUCCCUUUAAUAUGAAGUUAAAUAUGUUUUGUCUUUAGCCUGAACAUAUUUAACAUUUUUUGUAAGAAUAUACUCUAAACAAUGGGUCAGAAUAUCCUAAGAAUAUGUCUAAGCUUGGUUGUUUCUUUUAAUAUAAAAAUUUGUAUGACUGAACCUCUUUCUCUCCAAAACAAUGGGCAAGUACACCAGGGAAAGCUAAGAACAUGAAGGCGGAAACGAAAAAAAACACUAUUCUUAUAAAAUACAGCGUGUAUAUAAUAGAGAAGAGUUUAUAUAAAAUGUAGAAAGUAUUUUUUCGUUGUUACUGUUUUUAACGCUACGAAGUGGUUGAUGUCGUUAUAAUAAACCUUAAUGUAAACAAAGUUAAAUCAAUGUUUACAUCUGUUACGUUACCGUUUAAAAUAAUAUUCGAUUCUUCAAUUCGAAAACACUGCAUUGUUAUCAUGCACUGCACGUUUGCGCAUUGGGAAGGUUGCUAUAUGUAAUAGACUAAAUAGCUAAUUUGGUAUGAUGCAUUAGAAUCUGUACGUUGUGGAAACUUUGCAAUAACCUUAUUUGUGUGACUUAUCGAUUUUUUCUAAUGUCUGGUAUACCAUUUUCCCUUUUAUAUUUCGGGCAUGGCAAAGCAAGUAUAUAGUUUUAACAGAUUUGUUAGCCACCUUCGAUUUUGUUAAACUUUUUGCAUUUUUAUGUUGCUGGACAUGCUUAUAUUUUUAAGCGUUCUGUUUCAGCGGGUACAAAUAUAAGGCAGAUUGUGAGCAACUUCAAUCCCAGGGUUUUUUUCUCCUUUAUUGUUAUUUUUUUAUUGCUGCACAUAUUUAUUUUUUUGGACGUUUUGUUUUAGUGGUUAUAAACUAGAAUAAUACAAAUUGUGACUUUUAAAAA